CUUCGACGCGAUGCAGGAGUUCCAUAACUAGAUAAUGGUGCUUAUCUUCCUGUGCCCCUAUCAUCCAAUAUGGACCACAUAUGCAGAGCCUCAAAUAGUAUUGAUGUUCAGAUUGAGGAUGAGGAUGAGCCAUAUGAGGCUGCACGGGCCUUAGAUUCCGAUGACGACUGUCCGAUUCAAGAAUUGAUCGAGCAAGAAAUUGAAGCCACUCUAAUCCUAGACAUAGUGGGAAACUCUAUGCUGGUAUCUAUGGGUGAACUUGAGCGUAUCUCACGGAGGACUUCAGACACCAUGACACUUUCUUUCUAUCAAGGGUGUCACGUCGCCUUCGUCAUGUUGCGACUCGUGGAUGCAGAUCCCUAGCAAGCGUGGAUGUGCAGCUUCCUGUGCCUCCUAUGCAGUCGCACAUUCAAAUUCCAGCUCCCACGGUUGGACCUUCUGCAGUUGGACAGAUCACCUCGCGUUCGACGCGGGAUACGUUUGCAAGCAUGGACAAUGACAAAGACUAUGAUGAUGACGAUGACGACGAGGAUGACGACCAGGGGGAGGAAAACAUUGUGGCUAUAUGUCACGACAUUAUUGGAUCGUCACAGCUGCAGGAUGCUCCCACAACUCAGCUGUCACAGCUCACCCCACGUAGACGUCGCCCACGUGACCCCUACACUUCAAGCAGCGACGCUCUUGGGGCCAAGGGUAAGGGUAAGACUAGAAGGAAGUGAGUCUAGGUAUGUGGAUGAUCAGCCGUGCUCUUUAUGUUAUGGACUAUGUAAUGUUUGUGAUGUGGACUAUGUGAUUUGGAUUUUGUGAUGUAGACUAUGUGAUGUGGACGAUAUAAUGACUGUGAUGUGAAU